AGCCAGGAAUACAGUACCCCAGGCCUCAGAGCCUCUCCCUGUCACUCCAUAAGGCAGCAACACCUCUGGAAAGCUGAGGAAUGUACCGCCACCAAAGCUCUUCAUGCCACCUCGGACCCGAAAACUGCGCGUUAUCUACCAACUAGAAAGCGACUUUCCGGUCGGUAGUGCUGUGGCCCCAAAGAUUCACAGUCAAACCGGAAACAAGUUAGAAAAAAAAAAAAAAGGCCCCUCAAACAAGGGCACUCUAAACGUCAUAUCUGGUCUCCUGAUGCACACUGCGUCCACGCCAGCGGAAAUGACUUGUGUGACUGGGCUGAACAUCCAGUCAGCAGUUGUCUCCCAGCAGCCAAUCGGCUCUACCCACCUCUAGCCCGUCUUCCGUCUCUUAGUGGCCUGUGACGUAAAGGGCGGGGCGGGGGGGCUAGGUAAGGCAACAACAGGGCGUCCCGUCUUCUCUGUCGCUUAGGAAGCAGGCACCUGGAGGGAAGAUGGUUUACAUCUCGAAUGGUCAAGUGUUGGACAGCCGGAAUCAGUCCCCGUGGAGAUUGUCUUUCAUAACAGAUUUCUUCUGGGGAAUAGCAGAAUUCGUGGUUUUCUUUUUCAAAACUCUGCUUCAGCAAGAUGUGAAGAAAAGAAGAGGCUACGGGAGCUCCUCUGAUUCCAGAUACGAUGAUGGAAGAGGGCCACCAGGAAACCCGCCACGAAGAAUGGGUCGGAUCAGUCACCUUCGUGGCCCCAGCCCUCCUCCAAUGGCUGGUGGAUGAGGAAGGUAAACGUCUGCUCUGAGAAGCAGACAACUAGACAUACACACUCGUAGAAGGAAGCCAUCAAGAGGUGAAGAGCGGCUCAUGCAGGAGAAGAUGGUGUAUGUCCAAACAAGGAUUGCUCUGUGUCCUCACAGAUGAAUGAGGUCAUGCUGGGAAUUCCCUCUGCAGGAUCUGGCCUGACUGAUAAUGCAGUUCUAUAAAGUACAUGUUUGUCUCCUUAUCUUUUUUGUAUAGUUUACUAAAGUAUUAAUAUAGUUUUAAGAAGUAAAUAUUUUUAGGUUGCAGACCUUGAUUCUUCAUCUUUAUAUGAUCAUGCCCAACAUCUUUGAUCAGGAAGAAAUAAAGGCCAUGUAUUUAGUCUUGGUUUUGUUUGAUUGGUUUUGGUUUUGGUUUUGUCUGGCUUUUCCAAGCCACUGCCCCCUUCUCCAAUGUAUAUAGUCCUGUUAAUGUUGCCUUUUCUCAGCUUUUGAAAUACUGCUCACUGUUAUUUUGCUCUCAUUUAUAAAUAAACCACAACAUAAUUAUUUCAGUAGUA